CACAGGGACAGUACUGAGGGAGUGUCACACUGUCAGAGGGACAGUACUGAGGGAGUGUCUCACUGUCAGAGGGACAGUACUGAGGGAGUGUCUCACUGUCACAGGGACAGUACUGAGGGAGUGUCUCACUGUUGAAGUCCACAACUUUAAUAAAAUCAAGUGAAUCACAGUCAUGUUUGCCUCCCUGAGGGUACUACAGACACACAUGACUUUACUCUAAUUGGCUAAUUGCCCAACUGGACACUUUUAACAUCAGCAUUUUUCUGUUUACUGUGACAAAACAGAGGCACAGAUGGUGACAUUAGUGUGUUAACACUGACAUCCUCUUUAAAUCCGUUUAUAUAAAGACGCUGCUUGAUUUCAAACUAUUUGAAAACAUGUUUAAAGACGUUCAUCACAUCGCCUCAUCAGAUAACACUUCCAAGUUAAACACACAUCCUGAUUUUCAGUGUUGUCUCUGGCUGCCAGCCCCAUUUAUAAUCUGUAAAGUUCACCGGGCUCUGAGCACUUCAACUAUAACAGCACUCCGUGACAUCCACAAAUAGCUCGAGGCGGGAGAAACAGGCUGGGGCGCUGUUCCACCACUACUGGGGGCCCGACACCAUCUCUCGCCGGAGCAGUAGGAAUGAGCCCUCUCCACAAUCUGGGAGCCGAGGUGAACUGAGUCCAAGUCUCUUUGAUUCAGGUCACUAAGGAGGAGGGAGAGAGGAACAUUCAGAAUCUGAAAUGAGAGCAGCGGCUGCCGCCCAUGUUCAGCCAGGAACAAUAACGACACCUGCUGCUUCACAGACCCCGUGGUUCGGAGGAUUCAAAGCAAAUUUAUUCUCAAAAUAUGUAUGCAGCGUACAACCCUGAGAUUCAUCUUCCCACAGACAGCCACGAGACAAAGAAAACCACGGAACCCGUUCAAAGAGAAACAUCAACACCCCCCUCCCACCACCCCCACGCUCAAUAAAACUAAUCAUGCAAACGGCAGCAACAUCGACGCGCAAAAGGAAGAACGAGCGAAAACACAGAAUGUAAAGACACGAAAUGGAAAGGGGCCGUGUUUAUCGCCCGGGCAUUCUGCUUUCCUCCCACAUCCCAAAGCCACGCUGGUGGUUGGGUUAACUGGCCGCUGUGAAUUGCCCCUAGCGUAUCGGUGAGCGGUGGAAUCGGGACAGAGGUGAGAUGGGCUAGUGUUAAAAUGGAUAGUUGGUGGUCUGUGAUGAUUUGACGGGCUGAAUGGCCUAUUUCCCUGUUAAUUGACUCCAUAACACGGGAGACAACUCCACCGCUGACCCUUCUCUGACCUCUCCGACAUAAUAGGACCUUCCUUUCUGUGAGGUAGUUUUAAAGUUGGGCAACCAGGCACUCAAACUCGACACAGGACGAUCUCACAGACAGCAGGGAGACUCGUGUUCAUUGUCAGGAGCACCGUGAGAAAGCUUGCCUGCAGCAACAACGCAUGUAGCGGGUUCAGGCAACACAGAGAGCACGAAUUAUACAAGAAAAGACUGCACAAAACUGGAGUUCAGUGCAAAAAGAACACAUUCAGAGGUGCCCACGCAAGAGGUGGUUUCAGGGCUGAAGCUGCAGCGAUGGAACAUUUCUCGUCAGGCUCAAACCACGCGGUCCUGGCUGACCCAGGCUUGGUCCGCACUCCUGGGCCAGAUUCGCGUGCCUCUGUUCCGGUCUUCCUAUGUUUCAAAGUGCUGGUGUUUUGGUGCCCUGCAUUCCCGUGUUCAGCAUUUGGAUGUCAGUGUCCUCGUGGGACAGAAUUCCAAUGUCCCACUCUAGUGUCGACGUGGGCCAGAGUUCGCAUGUCCCUGUAGAUCAACACCCCAGUGUUCCUGUGAAACUAUCAGUCCGUGUUCCAGUGUCCUUGGUUUUCUAAUGUUCCUAAUUCCAUUGAUCCUUAGUCCGCAAAAUUCUGUGUCUGUGUCCUGUUCCCCACAGUGGAAAAUUGAUCCACAGUAUCACAGAUCCCAGUGUCCGUGUUCCUCAGAUCCCAUGACUCUAUGAUCCAUUGCCGCUAUGUUGCUUUGUCCUCGUCUUCCAGUGUUUUGUUCAGGAGUCCAGUGUUCCGACUCCUGCGUGUCCUGCUCUUGAUGACCUUCAUCUUCCCCUGGGUUGUGUGAAAUAUGAGGGGUAUAGAUGGGGGGGCUUUUAUCCCUGAGGGUGGGUGAGAUUAGAACUAGAGCUCCAGUCUUAGGGGGAAAGGUGAAAUGUUCAACUUCUUCGCUCAAAGGGCAGAGUGAGUUUGGAAGGAGCUGUCAGUGGAAGUGGUGGAUGCAGAUUCAUACUGAAACAUUUAAGAGAAGCUUGGAUAGGUACAUGGAUAAAAGGGAUAUGGUCCAGCUGCAGGUAGGUGGGACUAAGCAAUAAAAAGAGCCAGCAUGGACUAGAUGGGUCAAAGGGCACCUAACACUCUGUGACUCUAUGCCGAAGAUCUCAUUUUCUGUCCUAGAAUAAUCAAUCAAAUAGGAAGACGAUGGGACAAGACAGGGCAAAGGUCCUGUUUCUGUGCCGUAGUGUGACUGUCGGGAACACCCCAGAUCUUUCCCCACAGACACAGCUAGCACCCCUCCACCCUCGGCUUUGUCAAGGCUUGAGGAGGUUCACCAGCUGCACUGCCCGAUCAAAACUUAAUCCUUGUUUAUCUAUUGGCGUCUCUGGACUGUUUAUCUUCUGAUUAGAACUUGCAAAGCAAUCCCUGGAGGAAUAAUCCUGGCCUUGUCUCUGACCUUGCUUUCUGCUGGGGAGAUUUUUUACCACUCAUUGACUAGGCUUUAGUGAGGCUAAUAACAACCAUCGAGCAUUGUUGAGUUUAGAGAAGUGUUAGUUAGGUAUUCACUCAGUGGGACAAUAGGGAAUGAGACAGAGCGACACCCAGUGAGUCACAUUUCAGAAAUCUUUGGGUAACCAGGUAUGUUAUGUGGGGAUAUUUGGUGUGAUUAUUGUCAUCGUAUCCCUCGAGAUCGAGGAGGAUGGUCUUGAUUCCGUUGACCUAUUGGCCCACAGAGCGAAGAUGGCUGUGCGUGUAUUCGUUUAACGCAUACCUGAUGUUGCAUGCCACGAUACUUCACAAAUCAACCAACUGAUUCCAACGGCAUGGAAACCACGACGACUGGAGCUGAUGGAUUUGUUGCAGCCUUCCUCCGCCUUCACAGCCGUUGAGUUCGAAGUAACUUUGUCCGCCUGUUCCACCGUUGAGGUCUUGGUUGGUUUGUUCUCUGUCAGGGACCUCACCCUCGACCUUACCGCCAGGGGUGACCCGACCAGGAGCAUAGAUCCAGACGUCCUCGCUCUCGGGAUCUCAGGACCACACAAGCUUCUCCAUCGCGACAAGGUGACAAUCCACGGAGAAGGGUGUGAUUAUAAACUCAUGAGAAACCUGCCCAUCCAACCCUCCUCAGAAUUUGACAACACUGGAGAAUGGCUGCACUCAGAACAGUGCUAUUAACUCCUGAGAAAAAGCCAUGAUAAAAUGUAAGGGGAGUGUUGAGGGACAAGAUGAGAGCCGGUUAUGACAAAGCAAGGCAGAGUAUCAUCAAGGAGAGAGAGAGAGAGUUCGGAGAAACAGUUUGGAAUUGUGGGCCUUUCUCUGCAUUAGCAAGAUGUCACAUUUCUUCAAUGUCUUCAAUCCCGCCCUUCAGCACCGUCUGUGUGGAGUUUGCACGCUUUCCCUGUGACCGCGUGGUGCUCCGAUCCCAAAGACACAUGGGGAUGGUGGUAGUUAAGUUGGAAAUUCCCCGCUGGAAACUGUCCCUAACAUGUAGGUGAAUGGCUGGGGUGGGGGUCGAUGCGGAGGUUGGGGUUAAAGGGUAGCUGGCGGUCAGGAUGGAGUCAAUGGGCCGAAGGGCCUGGGUCUGUUCUCUGUGGCCUUCGAUGCAGUUAUUCCAGGUGAACUCAUGGAACCUGGAAAAAUCCCGCAGACGGGAAGUGACCAAGCAAAUGGAUAAUCUCUUUACUUGCUGGCUGGGUCUAGACUGGUGUUUACUAGAACUCUCCUGCUGUUUGAACAAGGUUUUGGGAUGUCCUAUACCAACAAAAGCCUUGAGGUAAUGUCUCAUCCCUAAGACUGCACCCUCUAACAACACAGCACUGUCAGUCUGGCUUAAAUACUGCUCCUGAUUGACCAUACAUGACGACAACAGAUCCAUGUUUUACCCUGUUCAACCAAGAGGAAAAGAGCCAAGGGUAGGCCGCUGGGUUCCCUGAGCCUUCUCAGCUGCACAGCAUAUCUCAUUCACUUUCUUAUGUGUUGUCACGCCUUUCAGUUCCGGAAAUCUGACAAUCUCAGCCCUGGACAUGCUCAGUUGCUGCACAAGGAGAGCCCUCGGGAAGCGAGACCCAAAGAUUUCAAUCGAUCUUCCAAAAUGGAUGCCGUCCUCCUUGUGAAGCAGCACGCAGAAUGUUUGAGGAACUUGGUGAGUCAGGCAGCAUCUAUGGAGGCAAAUGGAUAUUUGCCAUUUGGGGUUGAGACCCUUCACCUGGACUGAGGGAUUGGGAGAUAGUCAGUAUAAAGAGGUGAGCAAGAGUUAGUUUCAUACAGGUGAAAUGUGUGAUGGGCACGUGACAUCUCCUUCCCUUCCCUCACUCCCUCCAUCUGUCCAUCACACCCCUCCCCGCCUCCUUCACAUUUUUCCAUGCUCCUCCUUCCUUGCCUCUCAGAUUCCAUCUUCUUCAGCCCUUUGUCACUUCCUCCUAUCACCUCCCAGCAUCUGACAUCAACCCUACACUCUACCCUCCCCUGUCUGCCUAUCAUCACUCGCUCCUCGCCUGUCUCCACUCGACAGCUCUUGCUUGGUUCCUAGCGCAAUAAGAUGGACUACUGACCUCUCAAUCUACCUCAUUAUGAUCUUGCACCUUACUGUCUGUCUGCUCUGCAAUUUCUCUGCAUUCACUUUAUUCUGCCUUGUUACUGUUUUACCCCGUUCUGCCCUAAUGCAAGUCGGAGCCCCGCUUCUGCAAUUUUCCGCAAGUUUGUCGCGGAAGUCAAACAACCAGUGUCUGCGCGUCCGAAUCUGCUGGAGGCUGGAGCCCUGUCCUGGGGUUCAGAGAACUUAGUGUUUGCAUUGGGAGGAACAGGACUUGUAUUGAUGUUGGUAACACUCACAAAAUGCUGGAGGAAAUUCAGCAGUCCAGGCAGCAUCUAUGGAAAAGAAUGAACAGUCGACUUUGCAGGCUGAGACCUUUCAUCAGGACUGAUGAAGGGUCUUGGCUCGAAGUGUCGACUGUUGACUUUUUUCCAUAGAUGCUGCCUGGCCUACUGAAUCCCUCCAGCAUUUUGUGGGUGUUGCUUUGGAUUUCCAGUGUCUGCAGAUUUUCUCUUGUUUUGAUGUUGUUGUUUUGUUGCUUGCUGUGUUCUCUGUGGCUCUGACGAGCAUUGUGGGCAAGCUUUGUUGGCGCCAGAACAUGUGGUGACAUUUGCGGCUGUCCCCAGCACUCCCUCAGGUGUAUUGGUUGCUAAACAAAUAACUUAUUUCACCGUAUGUCUCAAUGUACAUGGGAUAAAUAAACCUGUUUUUUCAAUCUGAAUUAUUUGGUCUGUAUGAAUCCAGAAGAAGAUGGCGCCAGUGAACAACGCGACCGAGGCCAACAUCCUUCAGAAGGUUUCCGAAACUACUUCUUUCACUUCUUUUACGUCUUCUUUUUCUUUCAGAUGUGGUUCUGGUUCUGUUGAAACACGUGAUCUACAGUUUGGCGGUGUGUCUUCCAGCCAAUCGAGCGACCUGGCGCUUUGCCGUCUCCGUGGGGCUCCUGAGAGGCGUGCAGCCUGGAGACAGGUCGCGAACCCAUGAUCGACUGCAGUUAUCAGUGAUUAAUGUGCUGAGGAAGGCUGGAAGCAUUGAGGUGCGUGCAGAAGGCAAGUGGGUGCUUAGCGGCGUCUACCAGCCCCUUGCUCGCUGCUGCCGGAGGAAGAUGUCUGCGUGCGACGCUCUCGCUUUCCCUCCUGCUCACUGCUCCUGGAGGAAGGUUCCCGUGUUCAAAUGGUCCCUCACCCCCUCGAUGCUGUUGGACGAUGGUUGCAGAUUUUCUAGGCCUUGGACACAGCUUGUGUAUUGGACUCUGAGUUCACGUUACGAUGUGUUUCUGGUUUCUGGCCGCUCCUUUUUUUGUUGAUAUUUUGGGCAACUUUGAACCUGCAGAUAACAAACACCGAGUAGAACUGAAUAUGCCUGGACUCUUUUCAAGUUUGUGUUUUUCACUCUGUGUGUUUUUUGCUCUUUUUUUUGUUGGUGUUUGUGCAAUUAGCUUUUUUUUGUGUUGUUGGGGGGUGCAAGUUGGUGUUUUUCUUAGAACAUGUUCCAUGGUUUUCUUUGUCUCAUGGCUGUCUGUGGGGAAGACAAAUCUCAGGUUUAUUAUCAUAGUUUGAUCAUUUUGAAUCUUUGAAUAAAGCUUUUUCACUCUACCUUAGUAUACAUGAUAAUAAUUUCCUUCUCUCCACCA